rnacentral:rRNA from 1 species
AGAAGCAGGGGAUAACACUUGGAAACAGGUGCUAAUACCGUAUAACAACAAAAACCGCAUGGUUUUUGUUUGAAAGGUGGUUUCGGCUAUCACUUCUGGAUGGACCCGCGGCGUAUUAGUUAGUUGGUGAGGUAAAGGCCCACCAAGACAAUGAUACGUAGCCGACCUGAGAGGGUAAUCGGCCACAUUGGGACUGAGACACGGCCCAAACUCCUACGGGAGGCAGCAGUAGGGAAUCUUCCACAAUGGACGAAAGUCUGAUGGAGCAAUGCCGCGUGAGUGAAGAAGGGUUUCGGCUCGUAAAACUCUGUUGUUAAAGAAGAACACUCUUGAGAGUAACUGUUCAGGAGUUGACGGUAUUUAACCAGAAAGCCACGGCUAACUACGUGCCAGCAGCCGCGGUAAUACGUAGGUGGCAAGCGUUGUCCGGAUUUAUUGGGCGUAAAGCGAGCGCAGGCGGUUUCUUAAGUCUGAUGUGAAAGCCUUCGGCUUAACCGGAGAAGUGCAUCGGAAACUGGGAGACUUGAGUGCAGAAGAGGACAGUGGAACUCCAUGUGUAGCGGUGGAAUGCGUAGAUAUAUGGAAGAACACCAAGUUGGCGAAGGCGGCUGUCUAGUCUGUAACUGACGCUGAGGCUCGAAAGCAUGGGUAGCAAACAGGAUUAGAUACCCUGGUAGUCC